rnacentral:rRNA from 1 species
UACGUAGGGGGCAAGCGUUGUCCGGAAUUAUUGGGCGUAAAGAGCUCGUAGGCGGUUCGUCGCGUCGGCUGUGAAAUCCCGAGGCUCAACCUCGGGUCUGCAGUCGAUACGGGCGGACUGGAGUUCGGCAGGGGAGACUGGAAUUCCUGGUGUAGCGGUGAAAUGCGCAGAUAUCAGGAGGAACACCGGUGGCGAAGGCGGGUCUCUGGGCCGAUACUGACGCUGAGGAGCGAAAGCGUGGGGAGCGAACAGG